CUAUCGGUCGCUCUCUUGGACUGAUAUGGAUAGCGUAUUGGUGGACUCCUGGAUCACCAAUGGCGAUGGCAUCUCCUCCUCUCCCACUCGAGCUCCUCCGUUGCCCUAAGCCAAGCUCCCGGUAUGGGAGAACAACAAAUCACAGAUUCAGCAGGGGUGGCCUCUACCUCAAGAUUUCGUCCUCUUCUCAGUCUUCCUCCCCCUCCGAAGCCAGCGCCGAGACCGCGGGUUCUUGCGUCACCUUGGGGCUCUCACUCUUCUCCAAAGGAAGGGUAAAGGAUGCUCUUGUACAGUUUGAAACUGCACUUACUUUGAAUCCAAAUCCAAUGGAAGCUCAAGCCUCACUUUAUAAUAAAGCCUGCUGCCAUGCGUAUAGGGGUGAGGGGAAGAAAGCUGCAGAUUGCUUGCGAACUGCUUUGAGAGAUUACAAUCUCAAGUUCAGUACGAUCCUCAAUGAUCCCGACUUAGCUUCUUUCAGAGCUAUGCCCGAGUUUAGGGAAUUACAGCAAGAGGCUAGAGUUGGAGGUGAAGACAUUGGAUAUGGAUUUCGAAGGGAUCUCAAGCUUAUUAGUGAGGUUCAAGCACCAUUUCGUGGUGUAAGAAGAUUUUUCUAUGUUGCACUUGCAGCUGCUGCAGGAAUUUCGAUGUUUUUUACUGUUCCUAGACUCAUACGUGCAAUUAAUGGCGGUGAUAGUGCCCCUGUUCUUUGGGAGACGGCUAGUAAUGCAGCCAUCAACGUUGGAGGCAUUGUUAUACUUGCGGGAUUGUUUUUCUGGGAAAACAAGAAAGAAGAGGAGCAGCUUUCUCAAAUAGCGAGGGAUGAAACACUAUCAAGAUUGCCUCUUCGUCUUUCUACCAAUAGAAUUGUUGAACUUGUACAGCUGAGAGAUACUGCUAGGCCAGUCAUUUUGGCAGGGGACAAGGAAACUGUUUCUAGAGCAAUACAGAAGGCUGAGGGAUUCAGAACUGAAUUAGUGAAACGUGGUGUUUUGCUGAUUCCUGUUAUCUGGGGUGCAUAUAAGAUGGUCCCUGUUGAGAAAAAAGGCUUUGGACUUCCUUUGAAGGCUGCUAUAUCCCUUCCUUCGAUUGGACAGGAAGACUUUGAAAAGCGAGCUCAAUCAAUAUCUGCUAAGUCACGCUUGAAAGCAGAAAUGCGAUUUAAAGCCGAGAUAAUAUCUCCUGAUGAGUGGGAAAGGAAUAGGUGCGGAGCUAGCUCAAUCGAACAAAAAAGCCAAAAUGAGAGCAUGUGCUGCGAAACAGAGCCCUAACGCUUGAUCUGGGCGCCUGGGCUCCUGGGCUCCUGGGCGCCUUGGCGCCUGGGCACCUAAAGACAGUGCAAGAGGUGCACAGGCAUCUGAAGCUAGAGCAAUAGGAGCUCAUCACCAGUGCUAGACGGCUAGGCGUCGGAAGCCCAAGCAAUAGGUGUAGAGGUGUCUGAAGCCAGAGCAACAUGCACCUUGGCACCAAUUUUUGGUGCCUACACACCAAUAUGCAUGUGGAUAAUUGAUCAGCAAAAGUCUGAGGGCGUUAAUCCUGGUGAAGCUGUAUACAUCAUUUUGCGACUAGAUGGUCGUAUUCGAAG